CACAGGACAAUUACAGUGAUGCCUUUCAGAGUGUGCAGAACUACCUCUUAAAUAAACAGGUACCAUGCCUGAAAAGGAAAAGUCAGUCUGCUCAGAUUGCCUCUGUGCAGG